GUACUAGUGGUCUAGUGGUAAAAUAGUUCCUUGCUACGGUAUAUACCUGGGUUUGAUUCUCGGUUGGUAUA
rnacentral:tRNA from 1 species